rnacentral:rRNA from 1 species
UACGUAGGGUGCAAGCGUUGUCCGGAAUUAUUGGGCGUAAAGAGCUCGUAGGCGGUUUGUCGCGUCGGCUGUGAAAACUCGGGGCUCAACCCCGAGCCUGCAGUCGAUACGGGCAGACUAGAGGUAUGCAGGGGAGAACGGAAUUCCUGGUGUAGCGGUGAAAUGCGCAGAUAUCAGGAGGAACACCGGUGGCGAAGGCGGUUCUCUGGGCAUUACCUGACGCUGAGGAGCGAAAGUGUGGGGAGCGAACAGG